rnacentral:lncRNA from 1 species
GCCAUGGAGCCGGGUUUGCUGCUGCUGCUGCCGCUGCUAACGGCCCCGUGGGGCCGGGGCUGGGCGACUUCGAGGAACGUAUCGGAGGAGGCGGCGGCGGCACAGGUAGACGGCCCCUCCGUGCGACUCGUGAGGGAAGAUUCCCACCUAUGGAUUGACACCGACCCAACAACCAACUGUAUGAACAAAUGCAGAGAUGAGAGCAACUGCAGGGACAGCAGGAAGUGCUGCCACAUCAGGUGCCUGAUCCACUGCCUGCAGCGGGUACCAGCAAGACUGGACACCUACCCCAAGAAGAAUGUUCCGCACAUCAUUGGCUGCUUCAACAGCACCUGCAGCAGUGACACCAACGGCCCCAGUCACCUGCCGUGCUGCUCACCCCUGCGCAGGAGCUCCAAGUUCAGUGUCUCUCUGUUCCUGCUGGGCUUGGGCUGCCGCUGGUUCUCUAACCCCAGGGAGUUGUGCUACCUGGCCCCGGAGCACGGCCCCUGCAAGAGGCACAUCUAUUGCUACGCCUACAUCCCUGCCUCGAGGUCGUGCCGGCUGUUUGUGUACAGCGGCUGCAGGGGGAAUGCCAACAACUUGGAGAAGUGCCAGCAGGUCUGCGAGUACGGGCUGGAUAAGCGCUGACCUCAGGACCGCAGCCCGCCCAGAUCUGCAGAGCCGAUCGUUCUGCCCCGCACAAUAAAGCCGCCAGGACGCCUGGCUUGGAGCA